GUGCCAGCCGCUGCGGUAAUACGAAGGGUGCAAGCGUUACUCGGAAUUACUGGGCGUAAAGCGUGCGUAGGUGGUCGUUUAAGUCCGUUGUGAAAGCCCUGGGCUCAACCUGGGAACUGCAGUGGAUACUGGGCGACUAGAGUGUGGUAGAGGGUAGCGGAAUUCCUGGUGUAGCAGUGAAAUGCGUAGAGAUCAGGAGGAACAUCCAUGGCGAAGGCAGCUACCUGGACCAACACUGACACUGAGCACGAAAGCGUGGGAGCAAACAGGAUAGAUACCCUGGUAGUCCACGCCCUAAACGAU
rnacentral:rRNA from 1 species